GCAGGGGGCAGUAAAACCCUAUGGACCUGAAAGGGAAUGUGAGGAGUAAAAAUCAAAGGUGAAGGUGUGUCAAAUGGAAGGGCAAGUCUCACCACUGAGAGGAAAACAUCACUGGUCCACCUCUGCAUCAGGUCAGCUAUGUUGAUCAGUACUGUCCCAGGGAUGCUGGGAGCAGAGAUGAACUCCCCUGACCUGGUACCACCUAUGGAGUUGUCAUUUUAAUAUCAGUUUAACCCCAUUACUGCUAUAACACAUAAACCAUGUUAAUAG